rnacentral:rRNA from 1 species
UUUGUUACUUCAAACCAAUCGGACUUCGGUYUKACAUCAAGUGAUAUUGAACAAUUUAGCUGAUCGCACGGUCUAAGAACCGGCGACAUAUCCUUCAAAUGUCUGCCUUAUCAACUUUCGAUGGUAGAUUAUGCGCCUACCAUGGUUGUAACGGGUAACGGAGAAUCAGGGUUUGAUUCCGGARAGGGAGCCUGAGAAACGGCUACCACAUCCAAGGAAGGCAGCAGGCACSCAAAUUACCCACUCCCGGCACGGGGAGGUAGUGACGAAAAAUAACAAGCUGGUCUCAAUGAGUUCCAGCAUUGUAAUGGGAACAAUUUAAAUCUUUUAUCGAGGAUCUAUUGGAGGGCAAGUCUGGUGCCAGCAGCCGCGGUAAUUCCAGCUCCAAUAGCGUAUAUUAAAGUUGUUGCGGUUAAAAAGCUCGUARUUGGAUCUAGGAUUAGGGCUACGGUCGUUCAGCUUGGACGUACUGUAUGCCCSACUCCUUUUCUCUAGUAUUCGAUUGUUUGCUCUUAAAWGAGUGACUUUAGUUGCUGGAACUUUUACCUUGAAAAAAWUUGAAGUGCUCAAAGCACG